rnacentral:rRNA from 1 species
GAGUUUGAUCAUGGCUCAGGAUAAACGCUGGUGGCGUGCCUAACACAUGCAAGUCGAACGAACCUUUUCGAUUUAACUUCGGUUAUUGAGAUUUCGGGUUAGUGGCAAACGGGUGAGUAACACGUAGGUAAUCUGCCCCAAAGACUGGGAUAGCUUUUCGAAAGGAAAGGUAAUACCGGAUACACUUACUUUACAUAAGUGAAGUAGGAAAAGUUUUAUCGCUUUGGGAUGAGCCUGCGUCUGAUUAGUUUGUUGGUGGGGUAAUGGCCUACCAAGACUACGAUCAGUAACUGGUCUGAGAGGAUGAACAGUCACACUGGAACUGAGAUACGGUCCAGACUCCUACGGGAGGCAGCGGUGAGGAAUAUUGCGCAAUGGGCGAAAGCCUGACGCAGCGACGCCACGUGAGCGAUGACGUCUUUAGGGAUGUAAAGCUCUGUCAGAGGGAACGAUUAUGACGGUACCCUCAGAGGAAGCCCCGGCAAACUACGUGCCAGCAGCCGCGGUAAUACGUAGGGGGCAAGCGUUAUCCGGAUUUAUUGGGCAUAAAGCGCGCGUAGGCGGUUUUUUAAGUCAAAUGUGAAAUGCUUCAGCUUAACUGAUGCCUGCAUUUGAAACUGAAAAACUAGAAAUAAGUAGAGGAAAGCGGAACUCAUGGUGUAGCGGUGAAAUGCGUAGAUAUCAUGAGGAACACCAGUUGCGAAGGCGGCUUUCUGGACUUAAUCUGACGCUGAGGUGCGAAAGCGUGGGGAGCGAACGGGAUUAGAUACCCCGGUAGUCCACGCCGUAAACUUUGUUCACUAGGUGUUGGAGGUAUCGACCCCUUCAGUGCCAAAGAUAAUUCGUUAAGUGAACCGCCUGAGAAGUACAACCGCAAGGUUAAAACUCAAAGGAAUUGACGGGGGCCCGCACAAGCAGUGGAGCAUGUGCUUUAAUUCGACGAUACGCGAAGAACCUUACCAGGGCUUGACAUCUACGGAAUCCUGCAGAGACGCAGGAGUGCUCGUAAGAGAAUCGUAAGACAGGUGGUGCAUGGUUGUCGUCAGCUCGUGUCGUGAGAUGUUGGGUUAAGUCCCGCAACGAGCGCAACCCUCGUCUUGUGUUGCCAGCAUUUAGGAUGGGAACUCACAAGAGACUGCCUGUGGAAAACAGGAGGAAGGUGAGGACGACGUCAAAUCAUCAUGCCCCUUACGCCCUGGGCUACACACAUGCUACAAUGGCCGGUACAAAGGGUUGCAACACCGCGAGGUGAAGCUAAUCUCAUAAAGCCGGUCUCAGUUCGGAUUGUACUCUGCAACUCGAGUACAUGAAGUUGGAAUUGCUAGUAAACGUGGAUCAGCUACGCUACGUUGAAUUCGUUCCCGGGCCUUGUACACACCGCCCGUCACACCAUGAGAGUCGGAAGCACCCAAAGAUAGUGUUCUAACCUUCGGGAAGAAGCUAUUUAAGGUGAAGCUGGCGAUUGGGGUGAAGUCGUAACAAGGUAACC